rnacentral:misc_RNA from 1 species
GAACUCGGCGCAAGCCGAUACACCCCACAUACACCGUGAACUGUGGCUUCGGCCUCUUCCAAACAAUGUCGUAUGAAUGUCAAAUAUCAUAACAAAUAAAACUUUCAACAACGGAUCUCUUGGCUCU